rnacentral:misc_RNA from 1 species
AAAGUCGUAACAAGGUUUCCGUAGGUGAACCUGCGGAAGGAUCAUUACCAUUACCUCAACAGGCGGGUUUCAGCCGGUGCUUCGGCGCCACUGCUGCCCACCUGCUUGACGUUACCCAUGCCUUUUUGCGUACAGUUUGUUUUCCCAGCCGGGCGUUACUGCCCCUACGGGAUAUCAAUCCACCCAUUGUAUUUGCAGUCCAUGUCUGAAAAAUAAUAAUAAUUACAACUUUUAACAACGGAUCUCUUGGUUCUG